rnacentral:rRNA from 1 species
UACGGAGGAUGCAAGCGUUAUCCGGAAUCAUUGGGUUUAAAGGGUCCGUAGGCGGUUUAAUAAGUCAGUGGUGAAAGCCCAUCGCUCAACGAUGGAACGGCCAUUGAUACUGUUAAACUUGAAUUAUUAGGAAGUAACUAGAAUAUGUAGUGUAGCGGUGAAAUGCUUAGAGAUUACAUGGAAUACCAAUUGCGAAGGCAGGUUAUUACUAAUAUAUUGACGCUGAUGGACGAAAGCGUGGGGAGCGAACAGG